rnacentral:rRNA from 1 species
UACGAAGGGGGCUAGCGUUGCUCGGAAUCACUGGGCGUAAAGCGCACGUAGGCGGAUCUUUAAGUCAGGGGUGAAAUCCCGGGGCUCAACCCCGGAACUGCCUUUGAUACUGGUAGUCUCGAGUCCGGAAGAGGUGAGUGGAAUUCCGAGUGUAGAGGUGAAAUUCGUAGAUAUUCGGAGGAACACCAGUGGCGAAGGCGGCUCACUGGUCCGGUACUGACGCUGAGGCGCGAAGGCGUGGGGAGCGAACGGG